AAAAAAACCCCCCAAAAAAACCCAGUUCCCAGAAAGAGUGCUGUGAUGGCACCAAGCUCUGGUGUUCUGCACACCUGUCAAAGCUCAGAGGCUCAAUUCUCAGUUCUUUUUUUAGCUGAACCUCAAAAGAUUGAGGCUUCCAGGCAGCUGAGUGAGCCAUAUUUUGCAUGAGAUUUUUAUCACCUGUUUGCUAACCUCAUUUUAAGACUUGUUAUGGGACUGGGCACACUGAAGACAAAACUGGCAUCAGCAGCUCAACAGCACAUUUCUUUUGGCUCUGGAAAGAGCUGAUGGCACAAGAGCUAUAUUGUCUCUGCAGAAGAAUUCAAGUGUCAAUGCCAGCCUAUGGUCACAAAAUGCUCAGAUGCAGGAGUCGAGGUAGAUGUCAUCUACUUGGAUUUUAAGAAGGCCUUUGAUACGGUACCUCAUCCUAUUCUCAUAAACAUGCUGAGCGGCUGUAACAUAGAUGAUUACACAGUCAGGCCCUGUAGCUGCACACAGGAGAGAAGCUGCAGUUGAGAGCUGGGAAGUGGGCUCCGGGUCACCGCUGCCUAUAGCCAGGGCCCAGAGGAUGCACCCCCUCCGUAGAAGGAGGACCCAGGACCACACCAUCCUCAGGGACUGCUGGUGACAGUGUCAGAGGACCGUCUGGUAGAUGCAUGGACCUGGCGGGGGGGAGGAUGUGGUCCACCAGGACAGGUGGUGGGUGGAGGAUGUGGCCCACAAGGUCACACAGCACUGGCACAAAGAGGCAUGGGCCCAGUAUGAGGAGGCACAGGAUGGGGUAGACUGGGAAUUAUGGGCACAGCUCCUGGCCCUGCAGCACGAGUAGGUGAAGGCCCUGCAAGAGCAGACUGCAGUCUGGCCAGGACAGUGCAGGCCAUAGAUGAUGACCAGUGGGUGCUGGACACCAUCCUGGCCCUGGCAGUUACCUUCACGGCCUGGCCCCUGACCCUCAUCCCACCUGCCUCUGGCAGCCACCUGCCACCCAGCAGCAGGCUUCCCCAUGGGCCUGGAUAAGGUCCAGCACUUCCUCCACCAGCCAGGAGCCCCUGCCCUGGACCUUUCCCCAGGUUCCCUGCCACCCAGUCCCUCAUCUGGGCCCAGGCUCACCAUUCACCCUGUCUUCACAUGGGCAUGGAGCUGGAACUGCCUGCAGUGGGGCCAGGACCACAUGCCAGCCCUGCUGGCCCUAGAUACUUGCUACUGGAGAUGGAGCUGCCUGUCCCCAGGGACCACUGGCCAAUGUCACUCCUGGGCAAGCCCCUCACCUGCCAGGCUCACCACAGCAUGCACACCCAUAGGGGAACAGCCAGAGGCCAGGAUGCUGGCUGUCUGUCCCCAGGCUCUGCCCCCUAGGCAUCCCCACCCAACAGCUCCACAUCCUGAGACAGCACACAAACCACAUUGUAAAUAGUUUGCACAGAGAAGAGGGUGUUUUAUGUUGGUUGGUGAGGUGGGUGGUGGUGGGGCUCUGUUGUUGACCAGGAGGGGGAGUCUCUUUGUUGGGAAGGAAGGGAGGGGGGCAGUCUGCUUGAUGUGAAGAGAAUAAAAAAACUCUUGUUCUUCUGA